ACGUGUAAGAUUUAUUUGCAUCAACACAGGAUACAAGCAAACCGAGUUGUCUCGAGAAUCAACUAACUAGAACAAAGAGAAUCACUCUGUUGUAUGCCUCUUUCUCAAGGGUGUCUAUUGGUGGCAUCUAAUGUCUGAUAAACAGUAGUCAUAACACAUCUGAUGCCCUACUCUCCAGGAGACAGCCUUGGUCUUUGGAAUGUGCUUAGCUCAUGGCACACUGAAUAACAACUCUCCUAACUAGUGUGAGACAACCAGAGUGUGAAUGCAUGAGGAUUAACAUACAUGAACAUAAAAUAUUAUACUGUAAGCCUGUAAAAUUAAACAUAAAAUAGCACAACAUAAUGUAGUUUGCUUCAUGUUCGCAGAACCUUAUUUCUGAAUGCAUUUUCCCACUACAAUGUAAAUGUGUUUGUAUCCUUUAUUUCUUCAAUUAGUCCAAAUGAACUACACAUCUAAUUUUCAAUAGAUUCCUGAGCACAUAAGUAUAUAAAAACAGACAAACAAUUUUAAAAUGUACAAUAUUGAUUGUAAUAAUUACAAUAAAGCAAUAAUAGUAACACUGCAGAAUAUAUAAUAAAUGCAACAGCAGAAGCUACAAAUCAUCAUCACCAAAUAAAUUGCAUUCAUGACCAGUCACACCUAAAAUCAAUCAGGGUUUUGAUUUGAUUUCUGAAUUGAAUUUCAUUGCAUAUAGUAAGUAAGUGUGAAGGUACACUGCCAGUCAUCCCAAUGUACGCUACAAGGAAUCUAAAAUCCAUCUUUCCCAGUUCAGUUCACCAAUAAGUGAUGUCAAAUAUAGGGGCAAUGUUUGGAGCAGCCCUUUAUAAAGAAAUAAGAAUAAAUGUUCUCUAACGCUGUUAUCUUCUGAUGGAGAGACCAACCCACUUCUUGAUAAAUACAGUGCAGAGUGCUGCAGAUGUCUCCAGUUAUAAAUCAAAGGGCUGAAUGUUCGACAGCAUUUAGGGGGACAAGAGUGGAUGUUGCUGCAUGUAAAUCACAUAACUGAGUCUAUAUGUACAUUUGCAUUAUGAACAUUUACAGAUUAAACUGUAUUACACAUCUUGCUACAACUGUCACCAAAGAGAAAGAAAGAAAAAGUCAUCUUGAAUUUGUUUAACACAUUAAUAUCAGAAAUGUGAACAAAUAUUUAUGAACGUAUCUCUAUUUACAUAUUUAAAUACAUUCAACAUUCUCGUCACUCUUUGAUUGACACAGUUCAUCAUUUACUCUAAUUAUGAACAUUUUAUACAUUAUGUGUCAUCAAGGUUAUACACUCAUAUGGAUGGUGUGUAGUUUAAAUAAGGCAAAGAUCCACUGUGGAUAGAAACAUUGUGAUUUGAUGUUCAAUAUAGAUUUAAAUAUAGUUUAUGGUGUGGAGGAUCUACUGCAGCCUUGUUUGAGCUGCAUAUGCCAAUCUGUGUAUCACUCAACACUGCUACAAUAUUUCUUUAACUGGAGUGAAGCAAACUUUUACCAGUAAACUCUAAUUUAAAGUCUAAUUAUCUGCUGGUACAACUUGGAUUGUUGUAAAAUGUUAAACAUAAAUAUUGAUUAGUGCAGCUUUAAAGCUUCAUUGCACUGCAACUUUUUUGCAA